rnacentral:lncRNA from 1 species
AGAAAGAAUAUUCAGUCAUUCAACUUCCUCCGUUGACUUCUCAACUAGGGACAAUAAGAGAUUACGGUAAAAGAUAUCACAAUUACGUAACAAGUGCUUCAAUUUCAGUGGAUCCAGUUUUACAUCCAGAUAAUUGAAAAUUAUACAGCGCACCCAGGUGCGCCGCGCACCCGUCCAUCUCCGCCGUCCAUUUGACGCGGACUUUUGACUUUUUCAAAAUGGACGGCGGAGAUGGACGGGUGCGUGGCGCACGCUCUCCCAGAUGAUUGCAUUGUUGUAAUCACAUUUGAGGAGCGUCGCCAGUCGGUUUUUCUUAGACUCUAUAAAGAUACAAGUUGGACUUACAUUAGAGGUGAAAAAACAAUUGAUUGAGGAAGUUGUUGAUAUCCAAAACCAAUAGUAUGCUUUGUAGUUUUGGGACAAACUUUUAUCUUUUGAUAGUACUGAUGAGUUUAACUAAUUUGUUACAUGUGGUGUUAAUAUUCCAUAUUGCUGAAAUUUAUUUCAAACAUGCAAUUCUGAUAUUUUAGAACUGAGACUAUUGCUUAGCUACUUCCUCAACUUCGAUUAUAAGUUCUCUAGAACUCUUGAAUUAAGAUUUGUUGAUCCUUGUACAUCAUAAUCCGCCCAAACUUCUUCUCAUCGCAAAAUGGCACGAAUAUCUGUCUUGCAAGUUACACCAACAAACUGAGGGACUAGAGAUAGAGUUCCAGCACUUUGGAUCUAGCAGAACACUGAAGUUCAGAACGGCUAAUCUCAAGUUUAUCCAUAAAAAAAAUGAUAUAUCUUUAAUCAAGAAACACAAAGCAUGUCCAAGUUAAUAGUAAUGUUCUAGUGCUAGACCUUUCCCCUUCUCAAUGAUAGAUUAUAGUCCAACACUUUCUCUUGUUUAGGCUUCUGGAAAUUAUGAACAUUCAACAUUGUUCCCAAGGGAAUAGUAGACCAAUUGAUAUUGGAGACCUGCAGCUUCCUAUCUGUGACAACAAUCCUAACCUUCAAUGAAUAGGAGAAGUAGACUAUCUCUACCAAAUAUACAUAUAUACAGGACUAUAUGUUUCAAAUUAUGUAUCCAGAUUGGAAAAGUUUGCCAUCAGAUUAUUUGCGGUGUAGCAUUGUUUGUAAAUCAUGGAAUUGCGUAGCAAACGAUAAUCGAAUCCAACAAGCUAAGAUGAUGUCAAAUUCUCAUCACCCUCCUAUGCUCUUGAUUCGUGCAAAAGAAGAAGAUACAUGGAACUUGUACAACAUUAUGGAAAAAAAAGGUUCUUGAUAUGCAAGUCACAGUGCCACCUAACUAUAAACGGUUUUCUGGAUCCUCAAAGGGAUGGUUGAUAGCUUUGGAUGAGAAUUUUGUAGUAACACUGAUAAAUCCUUUCUCUAGAGUUAAGGGAAGGAGAGAGAAAGAAAAUUCAAUCAUUCGGCUUCCUCCUUUGAAUCAUCAACAAUCGACAAUAAGAUUACGAGGUGAAGAGUAUCAGCAUUACCUCACACGUACUACAAUUUCAGCUGAUCCAAUCUUGUAUCCAGAUGAUUGCAUUGUUGUGAUCGUAUUUGAGGAGUUUUGCUAGUUCUACUCAGACGUAGAAUUGGUUAGGUGUUGUGACCAAAACAUAUGGGUUUUUGCCCGGAGAGAUAUCUCGUGUAUUCAAACGAGAGAGAAUUGUUGGUGUGGUAUUAAAAAACGGAGGACAAAGGAAUUCCGCGUUUUUGG